rnacentral:rRNA from 1 species
CCCUUAGAUGUUCUGGGCCGCACACGCGCUACACUGAAGGAGGCAGCGUGUACUCCUGGAUCGAAAGAUUUGGGUAACCCGCGAAUCUCCUUCGUGCUAGGGAUUGAGGUUUGCAAUUAUCCUUCAUGAACGAGGAAUUCCCAGUAAGUGCAAGUCAUAAGCUUGCGCUGACUACGUCCCUGCCCUUUGUACACACCGCCCGUCGCUACUACCGAUUGAAUGAUUUAGUGAGGACUUCGGACUGGGACCAAUGCGGCUUUCGGGCUGCGUCGGUAUUCUGGAAAGAUGUCCAAACUGUAUCAUUUAGAGGAAGUAAAANUCGUANCA